rnacentral:rRNA from 1 species
AGAGUUUGAUCCUGGCUCAGGACGAACGCUGGCGGCGUGCUUAACACAUGCAAGUCGAACGGUCCAGCACUCAACUUAGUGCUCAUAAGAUAUAGAGUUUUAAUUAGAGGAAGCGAUAUAUCUGGUGAGUAGCAAGUUGAGUGCUGGAUAGUGGCGGACGGGUGAGUAACGCGUGGAUAACCUGCCUAUAUGACCGGGACAACACCGGGAAACUGGUGCUAAUACCGGAUACGCUCGCGGAGGCACAUGCUUUUGUGAGGAAAGGAGCAAUCCGCAUAUAGAUGGGUCCGCGUCCCAUUAGCUAGUUGGCGGUGUAAAAGACCACCAAGGCGACGAUGGGUAGCCGGCCUGAGAGGGUGGACGGCCACACUGGAACUGAGACACGGUCCAGACUCCUACGGGAGGCAGCAGUGGGGAAUCUUCCGCAAUGGGCGCAAGCCUGACGGAGCAACGCCGCGUGAGUGAAGAAGGCUUUCGGGUUGUAAAACUCUGUCUUCAGGGAAGAAGAAAGUGACGGUACCUGAGGAGGAAGCCCCGGCUAACUACGUGCCAGCAGCCGCGGUAAAACGUAGGGGGCGAGCGUUGUCCGGAAUUACUGGGCGUAAAGGGCGCGUAGGCGGUUUCUUAAGUCAGAGGUGAAAACUACCGGCUUAACCGGUAGCCUGCCUUUGAAACUGGGGAACUUGAGGGCAGGAGAGGGGAGUGGAAUUCCCAGUGUAGCGGUGAAAUGCGUAGAUAUUGGGAGGAACACCAGUGGCGAAGGCGGCUCUCUGGCCUGUUUCUGACGCUGAGGCGCGAAAGCGUGGGGAGCAAACGGGAUUAGAUACCCCGGUAGUCCACGCCGUAAACGAUGGGUGCUAGGUGUAGGAGGUAUCGACCCCUUCUGUGCCGUAGUUAACACAAUAAGCACCCCGCCUGGGGAGUACGGCCGCAAGGUUGAAACUCAAAGGAAUUGACGG